CAUCCAGACUCCUACGGGAGGCAGCAGUGAGGAAUAUUGGUCAAUGGGCGGAAGCCUGAACCAGCCAAGUCGCGUAAGGGAAUAAGGCCCUACGGGUCGUAAACCUCUUUUGCCGGGGAGCAAGGGCGGGGACGUGUCCCGGCCCGGAGAGUACCCGGAGAAAAAGCAUCGGCUAACUCCGUGCCAGCAGCCGCGGUAAUACGGAGGAUGCGAGCGUUAUCCGGAUUUAUUGGGUUUAAAGGGUGCGUAGGGGGGCUGUUAAGUCGGGGGUAAAAGCCCGGGGCUCACCCCCGGCGAGCCGUUGAAACUGGCUGUCUUGAGAUGUCGAGAGGUAUGCGGAAUGCGCAGUGUAGCGGUGAAAUGCUUAGAUAUUGCGCAGAACGCCGAUUGCGAAGGCAGCAUACCGGCGGCGAUCUGACGCUGAGGCACGAAAGCGUGGGUAUCGAACAGGAUUAGAUACCCCCGUACU
rnacentral:rRNA from 1 species